CUUUAAGUUAAUUAAACUGUCAUUUUUCAAAAAUGGAAUUGAGUAAAUCAGG
rnacentral:tRNA from 1 species